UUCAGUGUAUUUCUUCCACUUAGAAAGCUGUGUUUGCUUGGCCUAUGAAUUUGGAGAGAGCAAAAGGACCUGUGAACAAAGAGACUAAGCCACUGGCAUUCCGCGAGGCAGAGCAAGCUAUAAGGAAAAUGGAGAAUUACAAGAGAUAAAAGAUGGUAUUGGAAGUCAAAGUAGAAGCCGGACCACGCAUAAGUGUCUCAUAGGCAGUGCAAUACAGGGCAUAUUUGAGAAAUAUGUCCUUCAAAUAGAAGAUGAUCCUAUAAAUUAAAAGUGUUGACUGCUCUGCAGUAAUCAGCUAAGAGAUGGUCUGAAAUGGCAUGCCCCGAACUAAGGGCAUUCCUGAGACUGGAG